rnacentral:rRNA from 1 species
CUGCUGCCUUCCGUAGGAGUUUGGUCCGUGUCUCAGUACCAAUGUGGGGGGUUGACCUCUCAGUCCCCCUAUGUAUCGUCGCCUUGGUGAGCCGUUACCUCACCAACUAGCUAAUACAACGCAUGUCCAUCUCUGACCACCUGAGUUUUCAACCACCGAAGAUGCCUCCGGUGAUGUUAUGGGGUAUUAGUACCAAUUUCUCGAUGUUAUCCCCCUGUCAAAGGUAGGUUACAUACGCGUUACGCACCCGUCCGCCGGUCGCCGGCA